rnacentral:misc_RNA from 1 species
AAACCUCAACCUCCUUGGUUUCUUCUGGAGAUCAAAGCAGGCUUGGACUUUGGAGGGCUUUGCUGGCGCCUCUCUUUUUGGAAGGCCAGCUCCUCUUAAACAAAUUAGCAGGGUCCUCUUUGCCGAACCUCGACGUGUGAUAAGAUGUUUCCAUGUCUUGGUUUCUGGCUCUGUCAGUUUUUGGGACCUGCUUCUAAUCGUCUGGACCCUUGCGUCGAGACAUCGUUCGAGCAUGUGCCUCCCUUCUCGGGAAGCUCCCUCGACCCCAUGACC